rnacentral:rRNA from 1 species
AUUUGACCUCAAAUCAGGUAAGAAUACCCGCUGAACUUAAGCAUAUCAAUAAGCGGAGGAAAAGAAAAUAACAAUGAUUCCCCUAGUAACUGCGAGUGAAGAGGGACAAGCUCAAAUUUUAAAUCCGUCGGGUUACACCUGACCGAGUUGUAAUUUGAAGAGGCGUUUUCCGCGUUUUUGAUCAGUCCAAGUCCUUUGGGAUAGGGCAUCAUGGAGGGUGAGAAUCCCGUUCGGCUGAUCAGAUUCGCUUUACGAUACGUCAUCUAAGAGUCAAGUUGUUUGGGAAUGCAGCUUAAAAUGGGAGGUAAAUUUCUCCUAAGGCUAAAUAACGGCGAGAGACCGAUAGCGAACAAGUACCGUGAGGGAAAGAUGAAAAGAACUUUGAAAAGAGAGUUAAACAGUACGUGAAAUUGUUGAAAGGGAAACGAUUGAAGCCAGUCGUACCGGUGGGUAAUCAGCCUUUCGGCGUGAUUAUGUGGAGCGUGAGGAGUUAAACGCCCUCAUGGCCUGAAUAUUCGUGUUCUUUGGGUGUACUUACCCGCAUGGUAGGUUAACAUCAAUUUCGAACGUCAUAAAAUGGUUGGAGGAAUGUAGCUUCGAUCUCGUAUUGAAGUGUUAUAGACUCCGGCAGAUGUGAUGAUCGGGAUUGAGGAUUGCAACGGAUACCCUUCGGGGCUACCCGUCUGAUCUCUGAAAGUUGCUCUGGUGCCGAAAGCUCGCUUACGGUCAUCAAAGUUGACGUUCAACAGGUUAGAACGGGAUAAAUUCGUUAAGGAUGUUGACGUAAUGGCUUUAAACGACCCGUCUUGAAACACGGACCA